UGCUCGCCUGUGACCACACCUUGAGCGAA
rnacentral:sRNA from 1 species